UACGGAGGAUCCGAGCGUUAUCCGGAUUUAUUGGGUUUAAAGGGUGCGCAGGCGGAAGAUUAAGUCGGCGGUGAAAUUUUGCAGCUCAACUGUAAAAGUGCCUUCGAAACUGGUUUCCUUGAGUGUAGAUGAAGUAGGCGGAAUUUGUGGUGUAGCGGUGAAAUGCAUAGAUAUCACGAGGAACUCCGAUUGCGCAGGCAGCUUACUAAACUACUACUGACACUGAGGCACGAAAGCGUGGGGAGCAAACAGGAUUAGAUACCCCCGUAGU
rnacentral:rRNA from 1 species